rnacentral:rRNA from 1 species
UUAUGGCUCAGGAUGAACGCUGGCGGCGUGCCUAACACAUGCAAGUCGAACGGAGUUAUAUAACGGAAGUUUUCGGAUGGAAGAUAUGUAACUUAGUGGCGGACGGGUGAGUAACGCGUGGGCAACCUGCCCUGUACCGGGGGAUAACACUUAGAAAUAGGUGCUAAUACCGCAUAAGCGCACAGCUUCGCAUGAAGCAGUGUGAAAAACUCCGGUGGUACAGGAUGGACCCGCGUCUGAUUAGCUAGUUGGUGGGGUAGAGGCCCACCAAGGCGACGAUCAGUAGCCGGCCUGAGAGGGUGACCGGCCACAUUGGGACUGAGACACGGCCCAAACUCCUACGGGAGGCAGCAGUGGGGAAUAUUGCACAAUGGGGGAAACCCUGAUGCAGCGACGCCGCGUGAGUGAAGAAGUAUUUCGGUACGUAAAGCUCUAUCAGCAGGGAAGAAAAUGACGGUACCUGACUAAGAAGCCCCGGCUAACUACGUGCCAGCCGCCGC